rnacentral:rRNA from 1 species
CAUGUCUCAGUACAAGCCAAAUUAAGGUGAAACCGCGAAAGGCUCAUUAAAUCAGUUAUGGUUCCUUAGAUCGUACACAUUUACUCGGAUAACUGUGGUAAUUCUAGAGCUAAUACGUGCAAACAGAGCCCCGACCGGAGACGGAAGGGGCGCUUUUAUUAGAUCAAAACCAAUCGGCGGCGGGUUCGUUCACGCGGAUUCGUCGUCGUAUUGUUUGACGAAACUGAAUAACUUUUUGCUGAUCGCACGGUCUCGCACCGGCGACGCAUCUUUCAAAUGUCUGACUUAUCAACUGUCGAUGGUAGGUUCUGCGCCUACCAUGGUCGUAACGGGUAACGGGGAAUCAGGGUUCGAUUCCGGAGAGGGAGCCUGAGAAACGGCUACCACAUCCAAGGAAGGCAGCAGGCGCGCAAAUUACCCACUCCCGGCACGGGGAGGUAGUGACGAAAAAUAACGAUACGGGACUCAUCCGAGGCCCCGUAAUCGGAAUGAGUACACUUUAAAUCCUUUAACGAGGAUCAAUUGGAGGGCAAGUCUGGUGCCAGCAGCCGCGGUAAUUCCAGCUCCAAUAGCGUAUAUUAAAGUUGUUGCGGUUAAAAAGCUCGUAGUCGAAUCUGUGUCGUGCGCCGCCGGUUCAUCGCUCGCGGUGUAAACUGGCGUGUCGCAGGACGUCCUGCCGGUGGACUUAGCUCGCGGGUGUCGUCGUCGCGUUCCGGGCGUCGCCUUCGCGGGUGUCGUUCGUGCGUGUUCGCGCCCCACGGAGCGGUCCAACUUCAACAAUCCCACCGCGGUGCUCUUCGCUGAGUGUCGAGGUGGGCCGGCACGUUUACUUUGAACAAAUUAGAGUGCUUAAAGCAGGCUAAAAUUUCGCCUGAAUACUGUGUGCAUGGAAUAAUAGAAUAGGACCUCGGUUCUAUUUUGUUGGUUUUCGGAACCCCGAGGUAAUGAUUAAUAGGAACGGAUGGGGGCAUCCGUAUUGCGACGCUAGAGGUGAAAUUCUUGGAUCGUCGCAAGACGAACUUAAGCGAAAGCAUUUGCCAAAAACGUUUUCAUUGAUCAAGAACGAAAGUUAGAGGUUCGAAGGCGAUCAGAUACCGCCCUAGUUCUAACCAUAAACGAUGCCAGCUAGCGAUCCGCCGACGUUCCUCCGAUGACUCGGCGGGCAGCUUCCGGGAAACCAAAGCUUUUGGGUUCCGGGGGAAGUAUGGUUGCAAAGCUGAAACUUAAAGGAAUUGACGGAAGGGCACCACCAGGAGUGGAGCCUGCGGCUUAAUUUGACUCAACACGGGAAAACUCACCAGGCCCGGACACCGGAAGGAUUGACAGAUUGAGAGCUCUUUCUUGAUUCGGUGGGUGGUGGUGCAUGGCCGUUCUUAGUUGGUGGAGCGAUUUGUCUGGUUAAUUCCGAUAACGAACGAGACUCUAGCCUGCUAAAUAGGCGUACUUUCGACAUCUCAAAGGCCCGCCGGUCCGGCGUUCGCGCGUCGUGUCCGUGCGCGGUUUUUACUGUCGGCGUAAAAUUUAAUCUUCUUAGAGGGACAGGCGGCCUCUAGCCGCACGAGAUUGAGCAAUAACAGGUCUGUGAUGCCCUUAGAUGUUCUGGGCCGCACGCGCGCUACACUGAAGGAAUCAGCGUGUCUUCCCUGACCGAGAGGCCCGGGUAACCCGCUGAACCUCCUUCGUGCUAGGGAUUGGGGCUUGCAAUUGUUCCCCAUGAACGAGGAAUUCCCAGUAAGCGCGAGUCAUAAGCUCGCGUUGAUUACGUCCCUGCCCUUUGUACACACCGCCCGUCGCUACUACCGAUUGAAUGAUUUAGUGAGGUCUUCGGACUGGUACGCGGUGGCGUUUCGACGUCGUCGAUGUUGCCGGGAAGAUGACCAAACUUGAUCAUUU